rnacentral:rRNA from 1 species
UGGGGAAUUUUGGACAAUGGGCGCAAGCCUGAUCCAGCCAUGCCGCGUGAAGGAUGAAGUAUUUCGGUAUGUAAACUUCGAAAGAAUAGGAAGAAUAAAUGACGGUACUAUUUAUAAGGUCCGGCUAACUACGUGCCAGCAGCCGCGGUAAUACGUAGGGACCAAGCGUUGUUCGGAUUUACUGGGCGUAAAGGGCGCGUAGGCGGCAAUUCAAGUCAUCUGUGAAAUCUCCGGGCUUAACUCGGAACGGUCAGAUGAUACUGCUUUGCUAGAGUGCAGAAGGGGCAAUCGGAAUUCUUGGUGUAGCGGUGAAAUGCGUAGAUAUCAAGAGGAACACCUGAGGUGAAGACGGGUUGCUGGGCUGACACUGACGCUGAGGCGCGAAAGCCAGGGGAGCAAACGGGAUUAGAUACCCUCGUAGUCCCUGAGCGGGCUGGCAAGGCGCAU